ensembl:lncRNA
GUUAGCACUCUUGGCUCUCCUCUUUCUCAUGCUCAAUCUGUCUCUUUCUCUCACAAGCACUCUUUCUCUCACCCUUUUCUCUCAGGAAGCUUCACUGGCAUUAGAAAACAGAAUUUUUGCAUUGUCAAAUUUUAAAAUGCAAACAUGACUACUACUAGUGUAAUGGAGUGCAGUAAAACAACCAGGAUGUGUAUGUAUGUGUGGCUAUAAAGCAUGUUGACUAAAGCACUAUAACAGUAUGCUUGUUUGUGUUUGAUAGAUGUGGCUGAGUAUUUGAAGUACACAUACUGUAUAUCCCGUUAGUUGCCAUUGUAACAGUUAAAAGUUAAAAAUGUAGUGUAUGGUUUUAUAUGAUUUUCGCCAAAAUUAAACUGCCUUGUUUAAAAAGUGUGAAUGGGAGCCACCUUUGGCCAUAUGGUGUACUGCAGAUCUGAUGCGUGUAGUCCAGUGCUGCUUCCCUACCCGAUCAGAGAAGCCUAUGCUUUUGAUCGGGUAGGUUGACUGUACAAAGCACUGUACCUGAUAUGUUCCUGACUAGCCGUAAAAACUCCGCUAGCCACGUCCAUGCUUUAAAUGUACUGUUCAAUAUAACAUGCAUGGAUUUAACUGUUUAGUUAAACAUGCAUUGAAAGUAUUAUUACGUAUUAAGUAUGAAGUAUUAUUAUUAUUAUGACAGCGAAUGUUAGCUAGUUUUACCGAACGUUAAUUAGCUAUCGUUCCAUGUGUUCAGACAUUCUGUCUGGCGCAUUGCUGGCUAGCAAGCGCUGAUAGUGUACAAUAGGAUAUUGUCGUAGAUGUUGCCUAUAUGUAACGCUUUAUAUUUUGCUUGUGCAGAUGCUGUACGUUGACACCAAAGCCUGAAGGCAAUGUUUUGAUUUAUUUUCUAAAGGUAUGUGGCUCCAUAAUGUAAAUAGGUUUGAAUGAAGUGCUGUAACUCUGUGCACUUAGGCUACAGUUAUGCCCAUUCCACUGUGUAUGGGAAGUUAAAAGUUUUGUACAUAUUUUCUAUUACUGAAGUAAUCAGCAGAGAAGCCUAUGCUUUUGAUCGGAUGCUGUACGUUGACACCAAAGCCUGAAGGCAAUGUUUUGAUUUAUUUUCUAAAGGUAUGUGGCUCCAUAAUGUAAAUAGGUUUGAAUGAAGUGCUGUAACUCUGUGCACUUAGGCUACAGUUAUGCCCAUUCCACUGUGUAUGGGAAGUUAAAAGUUUUGUACAUAUUUUCUAUUACUGAAGUAAUCAGCAGAGAAGCCUAUGCUUUUGAUCGGAUGCUGUACGUUGACACCAAAGCCUGAAGGCAAUGUUUUGAUUUAUUUUCUAAAGGAAAAUAAAAGAAAGUUCAACAGAUUCGCCUCCGUCUCCCCGUUGCUUGACCAUCGUUACACCAUCUCUAUAAUGUACUUACAUAUCUAGCAGCAAAGGCUGCAGUUUACCCUUCUCUCAAUACUGUAGGCAGCAUCAUCGUUAUCUUUUCAUUUUAGAAAUCCUGGGUG